rnacentral:rRNA from 1 species
CCUCCUUUGUUCCGCCGUUCUUACUAUUUUUCCCUUUUCUUCCUCCUGCCCCCGCCCCGUCGCGUGAGGGAUGAAGGUUCUAUGGAUCGUAAACCUCUUUUAUAAGGGAAUAAAGUGCGGGACGUGUCCCGUUUUGUAUGUACCUUAUGAAUAAGGAUCGGCUAACUCCGUGCCAGCAGCCGCGGUAAUACGGAGGAUCCGAGCGUUAUCCGGAUUUAUUGGGUUUAAAGGGUGCGUAGGCGGCCUUUUAAGUCAGCGGUGAAAGUCUGUGGCUCAACCCUAGAAUUGCCGUUGAAACUGGGCGGCUUGAGUAUGUUUGAGGCAGGCGGAAUGCGUGGUGUAGCGGUGAAAUGCUUAGAUAUCACGCAGAACCCCGAUUGCGAAGGCAGCCUGCCAAGCCAUGACUGACGCUGAUGCACGAAAGCGUGGGGAUCAAACAGGAUUAGAUACCCCUGUAGUC